rnacentral:rRNA from 1 species
UACGGGGGGGAGCAAGCGUUGUUCGGAUUUACUGGGCGUAAAGGGCGCGUAGGCGGUCAGCACAAGUCAGUUGUGAAAUCUCCGGGCUUAACUCGGAAAGGUCAACUGAUACUGUGCGACUAGAGUGCGGAAGGGGCAACUGGAAUUCUCGGUGUAGCGGUGAAAUGCGUAGAUAUCGAGAGGAACACCUGCGGCGAAGGCGGGUUGCUGGGCCGACACUGACGCUGAUGCGCGAAAGCCAGGGAGCGAACGGG